UGGGGAAUAUUGCACAAUGGGCGCAAGCCUGAUGCAGCCAUGCCGCGUGUGUGAAGAAGGCCUUCGGGUUGUAAAGCACUUUCAGCGAGGAGGAAGGUGGUGAGCUUAAUACGCUCAUCAAUUGACGUUACUCGCAGAAGAAGCACCGGCUAACUCCGUGCCAGCAGCCGCGGUAAUACGGAGGGUGCAAGCGUUAAUCGGAAUUACUGGGCGUAAAAGCGCACGCAGGCGGUUUGUUAAGUCAGAUGUGAAAAUCCCCGGGCUCAACCUGGGAACUGCAUUUGAAACUGGCAAGCUAGAAGUCUCGUAGAGGGGGUAGAAUUCCAGGUGUAGCGGUGAAAUGCGUAGAGAUCUGGAGGAAUACCGGUGGCGAAGGCGGCCCCCUGGACGAAGACUGACGCUCAGGUGCGAAAAGCGUGGGGAGCAAAACAGGAUUAGAUAACCCUGGUAGUCCACGCUGUAAAACGAUGUCGAUUUUGGAGGUUGUGCCCUUGAGGCGUGGCUUCCGGAGCUAACGCGUUAAAAUCGACCGCCUGGGGAGUACGCC
rnacentral:rRNA from 1 species